GUGAGGAAUAUUGGUCAAUGGACGGAAGUCUGAACCAGCCAAGUAGCGUGCAGGAUGACGGCCCUAUGGGUUGUAAACUGCUUUUAUGCGGGGGUAAAGUGAGUGACGUGUCAUUCAUUGCAAGUACCGCAAGAAUAAGGACCGGCUAAUUCCGUGCCAGCAGCCGCGGUAAUACGGAAGGUCCUGGUGUUAUCCGGAUUUAUUGGGUUUAAAGGGAGCGUAGGCCGUCAGGCAAGCGUGUUGUGAAAUGUCGUGGCUCAACCAUGGACUUGCAGCGCGAACUGCCCGACUUGAGUGCGCGGAAAGCAGGCGGAAUUUGUGGUGUAGCGGUGAAAUGCUUAGAUAUCACGAAGAACCCCGAUUGCGAAGGCAGCCUGCUGUAGCGCUACUGACGCUGAAGCUCGAAAGUGCGGGUAUCGAACAGGAUUAGAAACCCGGGUAGUCC
rnacentral:rRNA from 1 species